UAUAAUCAUCUUCAAUUUUCC
rnacentral:piRNA from 1 species